rnacentral:rRNA from 2 species
CUGGNGGNNGCCUACACAUGCAGUCGAGCGGAUGAAGAGAGCUUGCUCUCUGAUUCAGCGGCGGACGGGUGAGUAAUGCCUAGGAAUCUGCCUGAUAGUGGGGGACAACGUUUCGAAAGGAACGCUAAUACCGCAUACGUCCUACGGGAGAAAGCAGGGGACCUUCGGGCCUUGCGCUAUCAGAUGAGCCUAGGUCGGAUUAGCUAGUUGGUGAGGUAACGGCUCACCAAGGCGACGAUCCGUAACUGGUCUGAGAGGAUGAUCAGUCACACUGGAACUGAGACACGGUCCAGACUCCUACGGGAGGCAGCAGUGGGGAAUAUUGGACAAUGGGCGAAAGCCUGAUCCAGCCAUGCCGCGUGUGUGAAGAAGGUCUUCGGAUUGUAAAGCACUUUAAGUUGGGAGGAAGGGCAUUAACCUACUACGUUAGUGUUUUGACGUUACCGACACAAUAAGCACCGGCUAACUUCGUGCCAGAACCCGCGGUAAUACGCAGGGUGCCUGGGUUAAGCUGUAUUACAGUGCGUAAAACUCCCCUCUGCGGUUUGUUAAAUUAAAUUGGAAAGUGUCCGGCUUCACCUGGGAAUGGUCAUCCACACUGACCAGCUACAGAAUGUCCAAGGUGGAGGAGUUUUCUGUGCAACUGUUAAUGCGAACAAAGAUGAAGGGGACACCACUGGGGCAAGGAGAAUCCCCUGGUCUCUUACUCA